AAAUUGAAGAGUUUGAUCAUGGCUCAGAUUGAACGCUGGCGGCAGGCCUAACACAUGCAAGUCGAACGGUAACAGGAAGCAGCUUGCUGCUUUGCUGACGAGUGGCGGACGGGUGAGUAAUGUCUGGGAAACUGCCUGAUGGAGGGGGAUAACUACUGGAAACGGUGGCUAAUACCGCAUAACGUCGCAAGACCAAAGAGGGGGACCUUCGGGCCUCUUGCCAUCAGAUGUGCCCAGAUGGGAUUAGCUUGUUGGUGAGGUAACGGCUCACCAAGGCGACGAUCCCUAGCUGGUCUGAGAGGAUGACCAGCCACACUGGAACUGAGACACGGUCCAGACUCCUACGGGAGGCAGCAGUGGGGAAUAUUGCACAAUGGGCGCAAGCCUGAUGCAGCCAUGCCGCGUGUAUGAAGAAGGCCUUCGGGUUGUAAAGUACUUUCAGCGGGGAGGAAGGUGUUGUGGUUAAUAACCGCAGCAAUUGACGUUACCCGCAGAAGAAGCACCGGCUAACUCCGUGCCAGCAGCCGCGGUAAUACGGAGGGUGCAAGCGUUAAUCGGAAUUACUGGGCGUAAAGCGCACGCAGGCGGUCUGUCAAGUCGGAUGUGAAAUCCCCGGGCUCAACCUGGGAACUGCAUUCGAAACUGGCAGGCUUGAGUCUUGUAGAGGGGGGUAGAAUUCCAGGUGUAGCGGUGAAAUGCGUAGAGAUCUGGAGGAAUACCGGUGGCGAAGGCGGCCCCCUGGACAAAGACUGACGCUCAGGUGCGAAAGCGUGGGGAGCAAACAGGAUUAGAUACCCUGGUAGUCCACGCCGUAAACGAUGUCUACUUGGAGGUUGUGCCCUUGAGGCGUGGCUUCCGGAGCUAACGCGUUAAGUAGACCGCCUGGGGAGUACGGCCGCAAGGUUAAAACUCAAAUGAAUUGACGGGGGCCCGCACAAGCGGUGGAGCAUGUGGUUUAAUUCGAUGCAACGCGAAGAACCUUACCUGGUCUUGACAUCCACGGAAGAAUUCAGAGAUGGAUUUGUGCCUUCGGGAACCGUGAGACAGGUGCUGCAUGGCUGUCGUCAGCUCGUGUUGUGAAAUGUUGGGUUAAGUCCCGCAACGAGCGCAACCCUUAUCCUUUGUUGCCAGCGAUUCGGUCGGGAACUCAAAGGAGACUGCCAGUGAUAAACUGGAGGAAGGUGGGGAUGACGUCAAGUCAUCAUGGCCCUUACGACCAGGGCUACACACGUGCUACAAUGGCGCAUACAAAGAGAAGCGACCUCGCGAGAGCAAGCGGACCUCAUAAAGUGCGUCGUAGUCCGGAUUGGAGUCUGCAACUCGACUCCAUGAAGUCGGAAUCGCUAGUAAUCGUGGAUCAGAAUGCCACGGUGAAUACGUUCCCGGGCCUUGUACACACCGCCCGUCACACCAUGGGAGUGGGUUGCAAAAGAAGUAGGUAGCUUAACCUUCGGGAGGGCGCUUACCACUUUGUGAUUCAUGACUGGGGUGAAGUCGUAACAAGGUAACCGUAGGGGAACCUGCGGUUGGAUCACCUCCUUACCUUA
rnacentral:rRNA from 1 species